rnacentral:lncRNA from 1 species
UGUAUUUAAGGAAAAACUUUUUACUGUUUCUGCUCAUCAUAUCAAUUUCCAUUAAUAAUUCAGUUGGUAGAAAACAUCAUCUUGAUCUAAAGGAUGAGACUCGAAAAAGCAUACCUGUUAGUAUGUUCGGAUUUCUUCGAGGUGGCAUCUUGAAUGUUACAGUAUCUAACUUGGCAAUCUCGAAACAAGCACAAGAAACAUCAGGACUGGGGUUUAGCUUGGAUAGGACACUUAGUGAUGCUGCAAACCCAUACUUAGAUAGCAAACGGGAUAUCUGUAGUUCAAGAUUGGAAAUAAAUGAAGAACCAGAUCACACAGCUGUUGCUCGAUUUGAAUUUGAUUUCAAAGACAAAAUAUUUAAAGUUCGGUGCUCCAGCAGGUUUAAUUUCAUUGGCAACAUUAUUACUGUGGAUGACCCAAGAAAUUAAAAGAAAUUCAGUGGCUGAGAAACUUAGUGAUUCUAGUUUGUUCAGUCGAAAUGCUAGAACCAAAAGAAACAUACUUAAUGAAUCUCUAGAUGUUGCUGAGGCUUCAAAUGUUAGUGUUACUUGCAACACACUGAAAAUUCCACUUUCUUCUUCAGAUGGAAAUUCCUUUUCAACAAAUUUCACAGUAAACAUAAGACAUUCAGAAGAAGAAGGCAUGUACUUAACCUUUAUUUCCAUCGCUGUUUCAAUGACGAAAUAAUUCCCAUUAACCUAACCAUUGAGGUUACCGAAACCAACGGUGAUAUAAACUACCUAUCAGCUGAAACGGCAUGGAACUUUUUGCUGUUCCUCUUACAAAAGUAACUGGAUCGCGUUCGACGGCCGAUCGUUUCGCUUUCGGAAAAACCGAUGGGAGGAAAGGUGGAGCCGGCCAGCAGAAAGGAAAGAUUCAGCAUCGAACGGAUUUUGGUGAUGGGAGCAACCGGUUCCGGCAAGACGACGCUCAUCAAUGGCAUGAUCAACUACAUUUUCAACGUGCAAUGGGAGGAUACCUUCCGCUUCCAGCUGAUUCAAGAACAGACGGCCGGCCGCUCCCAAGUUGACAGCCAGACCAGCCGCAUCACGGCCUACGACAUCAAUCACGCGGUCGCUGGCCAUGACAGAAGACUUCCACCAACGUUCUGUUCCAUCCUUAUCCUCGCGACGUCCACUCAUCUAGCUUCAUUUCUUCUUAUGCUGCUACACUACUUUUCUUGCUUCACUGACGAGUUGGAUCACUUCAGUAGUCGCUUCCGUCCGCUGUGACUGUAGUCAUUCACCACGGGAUUAUGCAUUGCCCAGCAUUAAACUGCAAGGAACUCCAUCAGCAGCUCUAAGAAGAUCUAGCCGGACUAAAUUACCCAUCAGCCCAUCUCCAAACGACGUGUCACUUUCCGCAGGACGUACCACGCGAAUGAUGGCAUCCUGACUGCACGAAGUGGCCUGAACUACGAAGAAAACAGCCGUUUCACGCUCGUUUUACAGGCUGAAGAUCUUGCAAAAGAGCCUGGAGCUGCCUUAACCAGUACAGCUACUGUAAUGGUCGAAGUUCUUGAUGUUCAAGACCAGCCUCCAGUGUUUUUAAACGCACCCUAUUGACCUGUC